rnacentral:rRNA from 1 species
CGCGGUAAUUCCAGCUCCAAUAGCGUAUAUUAAAGUUGUUGCGGUAAAAAAGCUCGUAGUUGGAUUUCUGUUGAGGACGACCGGUCCGUACCAUGUACGCGCAUCUGGUUCGGCCUCGGCAUCCUCUCGAUAGACGUUUCUGCGCUUGAUUGCGUGGAGCGGAUUUCGGGACUUUUACUUUGAGGAAAUUAGAGUGUUCACGGCAGGCUAUCGCCAGAAUACAUUAGCAUGGAAUAAUAUUAUAGGAUCUCGGUUCUAUUUUGUUGGUUUCUAGACCCGGGGUAAUGAUUAAUAGGGACAAUUGGGGGCAUUUGUAUCAACACGUCAGAGGUGGAAUUCUUGGAUUGUGUUGCGACAAACUACUGCGAAAGCAUUUGCCAAGGAUGUUUUCAUUGAUCAAGAACGAAAGUAAGGGGAUCGAAGACGAUUAGAUACCGUCGUAGUCUUUACCAUAAACUAUGCCGACUAGAGAUGGGGCAUCGUUCACUUACGACUUGCUCCGCAUCUUAUGAGAUAUCAAAGUCUUUGGGUUCCGGGGGGAGUAUGGUCGCAAGUCUGAAACUUAAAGGAAUUGACGGAAGGGCACCACCAGGAGUGGAGCCUGCGGCUUAAUUUGACUCAACACGGGGAAACUCACCAGGUCCAGACAUAAUAAGGAUUGACAGAUUGAUAGCUCUUUCUUGAUUUUAUGGGUGGUGGUGCAUGGCCGUUCUUAGUUCGUGGAGUGAUUUGUCUGCUUAAUUGCGUUAACGAACGAGACCUUAACCUGCUAAAUAGGAGCGCAUAUCUUCGGAUAAGCGCCUUUCUUCUUAGAGGGACUGCAUGCGUUUCAGUAUGCGGAAGUUUGAGGCUAAAACAGGUCUGU